UACGUAGGGACCGAGCGUUGUCCGGAAUCAUUGGGCGUAAAGAGCGUGUAGGCGGCUAUUUAAGUCCUGCGUGAAAUCCUGCGGCUCAACCGCAGACGGUCGUGGGAAACUGGAUGGCUAGAGUGCGGGAGAGGAGAGUGGAAUUCCCGGUGUAGCGGUGAAAUGCGCAGAUAUCGGGAAGAACACUCGUGGCGAAGGCGGGUCUCUGGGCAGUAACUGACGCUGAGGAGCGAAAGCGUGGGGAGCGAACAGG
rnacentral:rRNA from 1 species